ensembl:ncRNA T06A4.4 ncRNA
CUUCCUGUUUUAUUUCAAAGAUCCCAAUCAGGGGUGGGGGAAAUUGCCGUUUGGCAAACUGAUUUAUCGAUAAAUUCGGCAAAUCGGCAAUUAGCCUGUUUGCCGGUUUGCCAGAAAUUUUCAAUUCCGGCAGUUUGCCGAUUUGC